rnacentral:tRNA from 1 species
GCGGAGGUUGCCAAGCCAGGUCAAAGGCGCAGGGCUCAGGUCCCUGUCUCGUAGGGGUUCGCGAGUUCGAAUCUCGCCCUCCGCACCA